CUGUUAGAGGGGAAUAACAGUGAGAAAUCACUGCUAAUACCGCAUAUGCCAUAGUUACCACAUGGUAAUAGUGGGAAAGGAGCAAUCCGCUGACAGAUGGCCUUGCGUCUGAUUAGGUAGUUGGCGGGGUAACGGCCCACCAAGCCGACGAUCAGUAGCCGACCUGAGAGGGUGACCGGCCACAUUGGGACUGAGACACGGCCCAAACUCCUACGGGAGGCAGCAGUGGGGAAUAUUGCACAAUGGGGGAAACCCUGAUGCAGCGACGCCGCGUGAGCGAAGAAGUAUUUCGGUAUGUAAAGCUCUAUCAGCAGGGAAGAAACUGACGGUACCUGACUAAGAAGCACCGGCUAAAUACGUGCCAGCAGCCGCGGUAAUACGUAUGGUGCAAGCGUUAUCCGGAUUUACUGGGUGUAAAGGGAGCGUAGACGGAUUUGCAAGUCUGAAGUGAAAGCCCGGGGCUCAACCCCGGGACUGCUUUGGAAACUGUAGGUCUUGAGUGCUGGAGAGGUAAGUGGAAUUCCUAGUGUAGCGGUGAAAUGCGUAGAUAUUAGGAGGAACACCAGUGGCGAAGGCGGCUUACUGGACAGUAACUGACGUUGAGGCUCGAAAGCGUGGGGAGCAAACAGGAUUAGAUACCCUGGUAGUCCACGCCGUAAACGAUGACUGCUAGGUGUUGGGUGGCAAAGCCAUUCGGUGCCGCAGCUAACGCAAUAAGC
rnacentral:rRNA from 1 species